AGAGUUUGAUCCUGGCUCAGGAUGAACGCUAGCGGCAGGCCUAAUACAUGCAAGUCGGACGGGAUCUAGAUCUAAGCUUGCUUAGAUUUAGUGAGAGUGGCGCACGGGUGCGUAACGCGUGAGCAACCUACCCAUAUCAGGGGGAUAGCCCGGAGAAAUCCGGAUUAACACCGCAUGACACAACGACUCGGCAUCGAGAUGUUGUUAAAUAUUUAUAGGAUAUGGAUGGGCUCGCGUGACAUUAGCUAGUUGGUAAGGUAACGGCUUACCAAGGCUACGAUGUCUAGGGGCUCUGAGAGGAGAAUCCCCCACACUGGUACUGAGACACGGACCAGACUCCUACGGGAGGCAGCAGUAAGGAAUAUUGGUCAAUGGAGGGAACUCUGAACCAGCCAUGCCGCGUGCAGGAUGACUGCCCUAUGGGUUGUAAACUGCUUUUGUCCAGGAAUAACYACCACUACGUGUAGUGGCUUGAAUGUACUGGAAGAAUAAGGAUCGGCUAACUCCGUGCCAGCAGCCGCGGUAAUACGGGGAUCCGAGCGUUAUCCGGAUUUAUUGGGUUUAAAGGGUGCGUAGGCGGCUCAUUAAGUCAGGGGUGAAAGACGGCAGCUCAACUGUCGCAGUGCCUUUGAUACUGAUGAGCUUGAAUGUGGUUGAAGAUGGCGGAAUGAGACAAGUAGCGGUGAAAUGCAUAGAUAUGUCUCAGAACUCCGAUUGCGAAGGCAGCUGUCUAAGUCAUUAUUGACGCUGAUGCACGAAAGCGUGGGGAUCGAACAGGAUUAGAUACCCUGGUAGUCCACGCCCUAAACGAUGAUAACUCGAUGUUGGCGAUACACAGUCAGCGUCUUAGCGAAAGCGUUAAGUUAUCCACCUGGGGAGUACGCCCGCAAGGGUGAAACUCAAAGGAAUUGACGGGGGCCCGCACAAGCGGAGGAGCAUGUGGUUUAAUUCGAUGAUACGCGAGGAACCUUACCCGGGCUUGAAAGUUACUGAAUUAUCUAGAGAUAGAUAAGUCCUUCGGGACAGGAAACUAGGUGCUGCAUGGCUGUCGUCAGCUCGUGCCGUGAGGUGUUGGGUUAAGUCCCGCAACGAGCGCAACCCCUAUGUUUAGUUGCCAGCAUGUAAUGAUGGGGACUCUAAACAGACUGCCAGCGUAAGCUGUGAGGAAGGUGGGGACGACGUCAAGUCAUCAUGGCCCUUACGUCCGGGGCUACACACGUGCUACAAUGGAUGGUACAGCGGGCAGCUACCUGGUAACAGGAUGCUAAUCUCGAAAAGCCAUUCACAGUUCGGAUUGAGGUCUGCAACUCGACCUCAUGAAGUUGGAUUCGCUAGUAAUCGCGUAUCAGCAAUGACGCGGUGAAUACGUUCCCGGGCCUUGUACACACCGCCCGUCAAGCCAUGAAAGUUGGGGGUGCCUAAAGCAUGUAACCGCAAGGAGCGUGUUAGGGUAAAACCGAUAAUUGGGGCUAAGUCGUAACAAGGUAGCCG
rnacentral:rRNA from 1 species